UCCUAUUCUUAGAACAGAUACAUUCCACUUCUUUCUUGUUCUUUUACAAAUUUUUCCCCUUCUUAGCUCUGUGAUCCUUCCGUAACAGAUUUGGCAUACAGUGGUAGCUGGCUGGGUGACUGAGGACAAAUCACUCUACCUCUCGGAGUCUUGGGUUCCUCAUCAAAAAUGGGGUUGUGUAUUAAAGACUCCUGUCGAGAUGCUGCAAAGAGUGAGGCUGCACAUAGAAAAGCCAGCCAGGUGGCAUGCUGAAAGAAUAGUGACAAUGAUAAAAUAACGAUGAGAGCGAAUGGAGGCUCAGCAAGGCUAAGCCAUUUGCCCAAGGCCACAGAGCUGGGGGAGUAGUGGAGGCAGGACCUGAAGCGGCUCUCUCAGGCUCCGUCCCAGAUGACUGCACAAGGAGUCCUACCACCUUGGCUGUUAACUCUGUCCCUUCUUGUCUGUGGUGUGUAGCAUACAUCCUGCAAAUGCCAGAUCCAGUAUGGGCUCUGAGAACGUUCCCCUUGUGCAGUCUUAUGCAUUCAUCUCUUCAUUCACACCCCAUUCAGCGGUCUCCUCUGUCAAUUGGGGGGGGGGGGGCGAGGAGGAAGAGCUUCAAGAAAAAAUGCUGCCUCCUUGCCAGAGAAAAAGCAGCCAAUGGCAAGUAUCCUUGCUUUAUUCCUAUGAUGUGGUUCUACUAUUGACGACCUGAAAGAGCCCCCACCAAAUCUCCCUGUUGCCUUCCUGUUUUGGAUGUGCCUGGAAUGAUUUUCUGGUUUUUCUAUUACCCGAACACUAGGGUCACUUUGGCCCCGCCAGUGCCCCUUUGUUAGCUGUCUUCCCUUGGUAAUUCCCUCGUCAAUCAAGAUCUGUUUCUGGCAAUGCCAGACCUCCUUUCUCCCCAUGACAGAAUGCCACUAACACUCUAUUAUGACUGCUUGACCGGGUGUUAGCCCCACAAGUAGGCACUGUAGCUUUAUAAAUUUCCAACGCUAUUGUAUAUACACAGAGUCAUGUCAUGAAUCUUGAGGCUGAGGAGGAAGGGAGGGAAGAGAUCUGGAGGGAAGAGAUGAAAAUAUCACACCAGGUCUGGGACAUCAUAUGGCUCUAGCAUCUGGCUGAUCCUUAUAAGCUACCCAUUAUUUAAUGCCAUUAACUGUGAAAGAGGGCUUCUGGACUCCGCUCUCAGCCAAACAAAGGGCUCUGUAUUUUUCCCGAUUUUCAAGAAAAUGCAUACCCUAACAGAUGUUUUUAGGAAACCAU